AUUUACAGUUUGAACAAGGUUGCAGAUUACAAUUGUGUACAAAAAAAUUGGGAUGUUGUUUUAUAGGUCUCAACAGUGUGUGACCUAAGUAGUUGCAAUGCCUAAACAUCUGCGCAUAGAUUGUAAAUUUGCUUUGACAUUUGUGUAAACAAAACUUUGACUGUUCACCCACACAUGGAAGGUGGACACAAACAAGCAUGUGUAGGUUUGAGGUAAACCAAUUUUAAAUGUGAAUAUCUAUUCCUAGAGGAAAAAAUAACUGCAAUUCUGAUCCGUUCAGAGUUCCCAGGUUUCUGGACAUCCUGAAGUGAGAAGAGUCCACUGCCACUUCUUGUGCCACUUCUGCAGCUGGCUGUCGCAGCAACCUGUACCACAAAUGUCACUCUUCCUUGUGCUUUCACCACCAGACUGCAUGUUGCUGUAAUCAAGCCACUUGUUUGCUAAAAGUUUGCAAGAAGUGAAAAAACAGAAGAGCUUUAUCAAGAACAAAUCCCGGCAGUCUAAUCUCCUUCCAAAGCAAGG
rnacentral:lncRNA from 1 species